GAUGAACGCUGGCGGUGUGCCUAACACAUGCAAGUCGAACGGCCGCACGAGAAGCUUGUUCUCUUGCUGGUAGCGGCGGACGGGCGAGUAAGAAGUGGAUCGCAAUCUACUUUGUCUUGGGGGAUAACGGGAGGAAAGUGAUGCUAAUACCGCAUACUACGUACCGGUUGAAUCAAGAGUGCUGGACAGUUUUCCUGUCUGUAGUAGAUGGUUUCGUGUUGCAUUAGCUAGUUGGUAAGGUAACGGCCUACCAAGGCGACGAUGCGUAGCGGACCUGAGAGGAUGAUCGGCCACACUGGAACUGAGACACGGUCCAGACUCCUACGGGAGGCAGCAGUGGGGAAUAUUGGACAAUGGGCGAAAGCCUGAUGCAGCAACACCGCGUGGGUGAAGAAGGUCUUCGGGUCGUAAAGCACUGUUGUUGGGAAAGAAAAGAAGUAGGUUAAUAUGUGGAUGUCUUGACGAUACCUAAAGAAUAAGCACCGGCUAACUUCGUG
rnacentral:rRNA from 1 species